rnacentral:rRNA from 1 species
UUCCAGACUCCUACGGGAGGCAGCAGUGGGGAAUCUUCCGCAAUGGGCGAAAGCCUGACGGAGCAACGCCGCGUGAUCGAAUGAAGGCCUUCGGGUUGUAAAGAUCUGUUGACAGGGACGAAUAAGCAAUGCGAAUAGUUUUGUGUAUGACGGUACCUGUUUAGAAAGCACCGGCUAAAUACGUGCCAGCAGCCGCGGUAAUACGUAUGGUGCAAGCGUUAUCCGGAUUUACUGGGUGUAAAGGGAGCGUAGGCGGCGCGUUAAGUCUGAUGUGAAAACCCGAGGCUCAACCACGGGAGUGCAUUGGAAACUGGCGGGUUGGAGUGCCGGAGAGGUAAGCGGAAUUCCUAGUGUAGCGGUGAAAUGCGUAGAUAUCAGGAGGAACACCGGCGGCGAAGGCGGCCUGCUGGACUGCGACUGACGUUGAGGCUCGAAAGCGUGGGGAGCGAACAGGAUUAGAUACCCCCGUAC